AUGACUUUUUCUAAGCUUCUACUUUCAUCUCUUUUGCUAUCUUUGCUCAUUCUCCAUCUUGUUCAUGCUCAACAGAUAGAUUGCAAUGGAGCAUGUGCUGCGAGAUGCCGUUUAGCAUCUCGGCAGCACCUCUGCCAUCGGGCAUGUGGAACUUGCUGCAGGCGCUGCAACUGCGUGCCACCGGGAACUUCUGGUGGCCAAGAAGUGUGUCCAUGCUAUGCCAACCAAACCACCCAUGGAGGCAGACGCAAGUGCCCUUGA